rnacentral:rRNA from 1 species
AUUGAACGCUGGCGGCAGGCCUAACACAUGCAAGUCGAACGAGUGGCGGCCGGGUGAGUAAUGUCUGGGAAAGUGCCUGAUGGAGGGGGAUAACUACUGGAAACGGUAGCUAAUACCGCAUACCAUAAGAUGUGCACAAGUGGGAUUAGCUUGUUGGUGGGGUAAAGGCUCACAAAGGCGACGAGCCCUAGCUGGUCUGAGAGGAUGACCCGGCACACUGGAACUGAGUCACGGUCCAGACUCCUACGGGAGGCAGCAGUGGGGAAUAUUGCACAAUGGGCGAAAGCCUGAUUCAGUCAUGCCGCGUGUAUGAAGAAGGCCUUCGGGUUGUAAAGUACGUUCAGCGGGGAGGCGUUACCCGAAGAAGAAGCACCGGCCAAAGCCGUGGCAGCAGCCGCGGUAAUAAC